ACGGGUGCGUAAUACGUAUGUAACCUACCUUAUCCAGGGGGAUAGCCUCUCGAAAGAGAGAUUAAGACCGCAUAACAUUAUUGAACAGCAUUGUUUAAUAAUCAAAUAUUUAUAGGGAUAAGAUGGGCAUGCGGGACAUUAGCUAGUUGGCGGGGUAACGGCCCACCAAGGCGACGAUGUCUAGGGGAUCUGAGAGGAUGACCCCCCACACUGGUACUGAGACACGGACCAGACUUCUACGGGAGGCAGCAGUAAGGAAUAUUGGUCAAUGGGCGGAAGCCUGAACCAGCCAUGCCGCGUGCAGGAAGACGGCCCUACGGGUUGUAAACUGCUUUUGCAGGGGAAUAAACCCAGUUACGUGUAACUGGCUGAAUGUACUCUGAGAAUAAGGAUCGGCUAACUCCGUGCCAGCAGCCGCGGUAAUACGGAGGAUCCAAGCGUUAUCCGGAUUUAUUGGGUUUAAAGGGUGCGUAGGCGGCCUAUUAAGUCAGGGGUGAAAGACGGUAGCUUAACUAUCGCAGUGCCUUUGAUACUGAUGGGCUUGAAUGAACUAGAGGUAGGCGGAAUGUGACAAGUAGCGGU
rnacentral:rRNA from 1 species